rnacentral:tRNA from 2 species
UGGACAGUUAGCUCAGUUGGUAGAGCAACGGACUCUUAAUCCGUGGGUCCAGGGUUCGAGCCCCUGACUGUCCAUCC